rnacentral:rRNA from 1 species
UACGUAGGUGGCGAGCGUUGUCCGGAUUUACCGGGCGUAAAGAGCGCGCAGGCGGUCGUUCAAGUCGCGUGUGAAAGCCCCCGGCUCAACUGGGGAGGGUCACGCGAUACUGAUCGACUCGAAGGCAGGAGAGGGAAGUGGAAUUCCCGGUGUAGUGGUGAAAUGCGUAGAUAUCGAGAGGAACACCUGCGGCGAAGGCGGGUUGCUGGGCUGACACUGACGCUGAUGUGCGAAAGCUAGGGGAGCGAACGGG